GUGGCCGGCCGCCGCGGUACUACCGGCAGCCCAAGUGAUGGCCGCUGUUAUUGGGCCUAAAGCGUCCGUAGCUGGCCGCACAAGUCCGUCGGGAAAUCCGCCCGCUCAACGGGCGGCCGUCCGGCGGAACCUGUGUGGCUUGGGACCGGGAGGCCUGAGGGGUACGAUCGGGGUAGGAGUGAAAUCCUGUAAUCCCGCUCGGACCGCCGAUGGGGAAACCACCUCAGGAGAACGGAUCCGACAGUGAGGGACGAAAGCCAGGGUCUCAAACCGGAUUAGAUACCCUGAGUAGUCC
rnacentral:rRNA from 1 species